rnacentral:rRNA from 1 species
UACGAAGGGGGCUAGCGUUGCUCGGAAUCACUGGGCGUAAAGCGCACGUAGGCGGAUUGUUAAGUCAGGGGUGAAAUCCUGGAGCUCAACUCCAGAACUGCCUUUGAUACUGGCGAUCUUGAGUCCGGGAGAGGUGAGUGGAACUGCGAGUGUAGAGGUGAAAUUCGUAGAUAUUCGCAAGAACACCAGUGGCGAAGGCGGCUCACUGGCCCGGUACUGACGCUGAGGUGCGAAAGCGUGGGGAGCAACCAGG